GGUUCGAUGGUGUAGUUGGUUAUCACAUCUGUCUCACACACAGGAGGCCCUGGGUUCGAGCCCCAGUCGAACCA